UGACCCUGACUCACUCCCUUCUGUGUAUCUCUUUGUGGAUCUCAGGAUCAACAUGGCUACUCUCAUUGACAUCAUCACCUCUUCUUAAGUCCCAGCCGGUUCUGCCCUGGCUGACGUGUGGAGCUGGCUUGGAGCAACAUCUUCUACAAUAAACUGGCGAACUAGUUCUGAAAUUAGUACAACGGGAAGAUGGAG